GGCUCCACCUAGUGUUAACAGUUCCUGCUGGUUUGACCUGUGCCAAGCUGGGCAACCGUGCUAAAUCUACAUGUGCUGCAAAUGAAAGUGAAUCAUAAAUUACUGCAUGUGAUUGUCAUGGAACUGAAAGACAAACCUGCACACCUAAGGUAAAAAAAAAAAAGAGGUUUUAUUCAAUUACAUUUGUAUUCAAUUUUAUUUAUGUAGUUCUUCAUAUUUUUAUUUAUAUAGUGCUUUUAAUAAUGAACAAAGCAGCUUUACAGAAAUCUUCAUACAUAUUUCUUUCUUUUUCUUUUUUUUUUUCGCGUUAAGCAUGCCAAUCCUAGUUUAUUGGUGUUUUUUCAUGUUUUUAUCCAGGCAUAAAUUUCAUGAGUUUUCAGUCUGAGCCAUGUUGUAAAACAGCCGAGUCCCCAUCUGAUGUCUGGUAUAGAGGCUAUUAUUUCCUAAUACAAUAAAUAUACUUUGGGGGAAACUAAGGAACUGUUAGUGGAAUUAGGGACACUUGCACGCCUGUAAUUCAAGUUCCCUUUCCUCAUGAAGCCUCAGCAAUCAAGCAAGGGAUACUGAACAUUUUCUUUUACUUACCAGUCCAUCCAUUAAUUAAUAUAAUAGAAAUAUGUUUUGAUGUUAUUUGUGAUUAACAUUGUAGCGGGUGGCAGCAUGGUUUAGUGAAAGUCUGCAGUGGGAGGGUGGGAUUUGGGGGAUGAGCUGGAAGGGUGAUGCAUGAUGUGACACACCUCUAUUUCGGAAGUCUACCAGAAGCAAUCUGUCUGCCAACUUACAGAAAAAUGCAUCCAAUCUGAUUGGGAGAAACUUCAUCAGACAGCAAGAAAAUGACCAAAAACACACUGCCAACACAACAAGGUGUGGGGGUGGGGGUGAGCUUUUAGACUGGCCAAGUCAAUCACCAGACCUUAGCCCAGUUGAGCAUGCAGAGGAGACUGAAGGGAGAAACCUCCCAAAACAAACAACACCUGAUACAAGCCUGGAAAAGUAUCACAAAAGAUGAAUGAAAGAGUUUGGUGAUGUCAGUGAGGUGCCGGUUUGAUACAAACAAUGGAUAUGCAACCAAAUAUUAUGUGUUAUUUACUUUCAUUUACUUUUAGACCGUCUGUCCCUAUACCUUUGCUCACCUAAAAAUCGGGUGAUGUGCCUGUUCUAAGUUGUUUAACACAUCUAGAUGUAAAUAUCAGGACAUGAAAGCUGAAAGCUCUUGUCUCGUAUUCGUCUUUUGAUCUCAAGCUCAAAUGUCAU
ensembl:lncRNA